GGGAUUUUUUGUUGUUUGUGUAAUUGUUUUUUCCCUUUUUUUUUGAGCAGGUUUUACAGCCACACUGCUCUAUUUGUCCCUCAUUGCCAUGUAGUAAGCCUACACAAACAUGACAAGUAGAGCAUCGAGAAACUGACUACAAAAUGCUGCUAAAAG